rnacentral:rRNA from 1 species
UGGGGAAUUUUGGACAAUGGGCGAAAGCCUGAUCCAGCAAUGCCGCGUGUGUGAAGAAGGCUUUCGGGUUGUAAAGCACUUUUGUCCGGAAAGAAAUCCUUGGCUCUAAUACAGUCGGGGGAUGACGGUACCGGAAGAAUAAGCACCGGCUAACUACGUGCCAGCAGCCGCGGUAAUACGUAGGGUGCAAGCGUUAAUCGGAAUUACUGGGCGUAAAGCGUGCGCAGGCGGUUUGCUAAGACCGAUGUGAAAUCCCCGGGCUCAACCUGGGAACUGCAUUGGUGACUGGCAGGCUAGAGUAUGGCAGAGGGGUGGAAUAUCCACGUGUAGCAGUGAAAUGCGUAGAGAUGUGGAGGAAUACCGAUGGCGAAGGCAGCCCCCUGGGCCAAUACUGACGCUCAUGCACGAAAGCGUGGGGAGCAAACAGGAUUAGAUACCCUGGUAGUCCACGCCCUAAACGAUGUCAACUAGUUGUUGGGGAUUCAUUUCCUUAGUAACGUAGCUAACGCGUGAAGUUGACCGCCUGGGGAGUACGGUCGCAAGAUU